GGGGUUGUAGCUCAGUGGUAGAGUGCUUCACAUGUGAGGCACUGGAUUUGAUUCCCAGAACUACAUAAGAAUAAAUAAAUGAAAUAAAGGUAUUGUGUCCAUAUAUAACUGAAAAUAUUUUUUUAAUUUUUUAAAAUAUUUUAUUUUUUAGUUGUAGAGGACGCAAUAUAUUUAUUUUAUUUUUUAAUGUGGUGCUGAGGAUCGAACCCAGGGCCUCG
rnacentral:tRNA from 1 species